rnacentral:rRNA from 1 species
UACGGAGGGGGCUAGCGUUGUUCGGAAUUACUGGGCGUAAAGCGCGCGUAGGCGGCUUUGUAAGUUAGAGGUGAAAGCCCGGAGCUCAACUCCGGAACUGCCUUUAAGACUGCAUCGCUAGAAUUGUGGAGAGGUAAGUGGAAUUCCGAGUGUAGAGGUGAAAUUCGUAGAUAUUCGGAAGAACACCAGUGGCGAAGGCGACUUACUGGACACAUAUUGACGCUGAGGUGCGAAAGCGUGGGGAGCAAACGGG